ensembl:miRNA Mir6904 microRNA 6904
UCCUUUCCUGGGGUUAGAGUUGAGUGGUCGUAGCCUGUUGCUUCUGAUCUCUUACCCCAGACAAGCC